UACGUAGGGUGCGAGCGUUGUCCGGAAUUAUUGGGCGUAAAGAGCUUGUAGGCGGUUUGUCGCGUCUGCUGUGAAAAUCCGGGGCUCAACCCCGGACUUGCAGUGGGUACGGGCAGACUAGAGUGUGGUAGGGGAGACUGGAAUUCCUGGUGUAGCGGUGGAAUGCGCAGAUAUCAGGAGGAACACCGAUGGCGAAGGCAGGUCACUGGGCCGCAACUGACGCUGAGGAGCGAAAGCAUGGGGAGCGAACAGG
rnacentral:rRNA from 1 species